rnacentral:rRNA from 1 species
CCCUUAGAUGUCCUGGGCCGCACGCGCGCUACACUGAUGCAUGCAACGAGUUUAUAACCUUGGCCUGAAAGGUCUGGGUAAUCUUUUGAACGUGCAUCGUGAUAGGGAUAGAUUAUUGCAAUUGUUAAUCUUGAACGAGGAAUUCCUAGUAAACGCGAGUCAUCAGCUCGCAUUGAUUACGUCCCUGCCCUGUGUACACACCGCCCGUCGCACCUACCGAUUGAAUGGUUCGGUGAAGAUCUCGGACUUCGAUAUUUAUUCUUUAUUGAGUUUAUAUUGUGGGAAGUUAUCUAAACCUCAUCAUUUAGAGGAAGGUGAAGUCGUAACA